GUGAGUGCGUGUGUGUGUGUGUGUGUGUGUGUGGGUGUGGGUGUGCAAGCGCAUGCUUCUGUGUGUAUGUGUGUGUAUGUGUGUGUGUAUGUUUCUGUGUUGGGUGAUUAAGAGCUGAAAGGCUCUGCUGAGAGCGUUGAGAGCUCAUCCUCACAGCCAAUAGGCCUAUCUCACGAAAAUCGGAAAUGACGUCACACCGGGUAAACAUUCUUCCGGUGUAGUCAUUUUUGUAUUGCCGUAAAUGCAAAAAUGGAUCGUUUCUUCGCCACUUCCCUGGUGGGUAAUCCCAAAUUGCGAUUCGAAGAUGUGCAGAAGAUUGUGGUGACACACUCAGCAACACCACAGCCCAGGCUGACAAAGGGGUACAAGUUUUUUGUGGAGGAGUUUGUACACAAUUAUCAAGAUCACCCUGGAGGCUGUUGGACAACUGGGUCUCUCAGAGCUGUAGCUGUGCUGCGGGCAAAGGCUUCUGUAGCCAUAUAACCGCUCUGCUGUUCCAGACAGCGCAUUAUGUGCAGCUGGGCCUUGAUGUGGUUCCACCUUCCCUGGCCUGUACCAGUCAACCACAGAUGUGGCAUCGACCUCGAACCCACGUGUGCUGUUGUGUCCUCUGUUCAAAUCAUACACUUCAGUAUUUGUCUAGAGUAUAUGAGCAUUUCCUGUAUUGUUGUUCGCCUCAGGGAAUCCAUCCAGAGGCUGUGAGUGACCUGGUGGUGAAGAAACCCAAGUCGGUGGGGAAGACUGGAGUCAAGUCCACACUCUACAGAGCGUAUGCUGAGGGAAUAUCCAGCUUGGAGUUGGUACCAUCUCAGCUGUGCUGACCUGGAAGAUGUCAGCAAUGACCUGUUCUUUAAGGCCAGUUGCUACUCUACAACAGUAGAUGAAAAACUCAUCAAUGACUGGAAUCUUCCUUGAAGGGCGUGGUGUUGGAAUCGCCUCUUGUCCAAUCCUCUGUGCUUUGCUCCAAUAAAGAAUAUAUUGUGUUGAGGGGCAAAACAGACUCCCAAAACACUUGAAACACUUCUUGAGAUGGAAACCGAGUAUAAUAUGUCAUGGUCUGAUCAGACACACAAAACCUGUUGAGGACAGUUUGUGGCCCCAUGGACAUUUCUUGCAGCCUUGCCUCCAGCUCAGCAAUAUACUCCAGGGCAUCAUCCAGUGCACCUACAAAAAAAGAAGACAAAUAAGUCUUCAUUACCAUUCAUUCGUAUUCACCAUUUCUUUUUUAUUGUAUUGUUAUUCUGUAUACUUAAGUUUAUUUAUAUUUCUUAUCAUUAAAUUUAUUUGUACUGUUUUCUGUUUUUAUUUUUUAUGCAUUAACUAUAGGUUGAGUGUACAUAGAGUAAAAACCAAAGUCAAAUUCCUCGUUUGUUUGCAAACCUGGCCAAUAAAGCUGAAUCUGAAUUAAUA
ensembl:lncRNA